rnacentral:rRNA from 1 species
CGGGGUGAGUAAUGCUUGGGAAUCUAGCUUAUGAGGGGGAGUAACUACGGGAAACUGUAGCUAAUACCGCGUAGAAUCGGGAGAUGAAAGUGUGGGACCUUCGGGCCACAUGCCAUAGGAUGAGCCCAAGUGGGAUUAGGUAGUUGGUGAGGUAAAGGCUCACCAAGCCGACGAUCUCUAGCUGGUCUGAGAGGAUGACCAGCCACACUGGGACUGAGACACGGCCCAG